rnacentral:rRNA from 1 species
AUUGAACGCUAGCGGGAUGCUUUACACAUGCAAGUCGAACGGCAGCGCGGACUUCGGUCUGGCGGCGAGUGGCGAACGGGUGAGUAAUGUAUCGGAACGUGCCCAGUAGCGGGGGAUAACUACGCGAAAGCGUAGCUAAUACCGCAUCCGCCCUACGGGGGAAAGGGGGGGAUCGCAAGACCUCGCACUAUUGGAACGGCCGAUAUCGGAUUAGCUAGUUGGUGAGGUAAAGGCUCACCAAGGCGACGAUCCGUAGCUGGUUUGAGAGGACGACCAGCCACACUGGGACUGAGACACGGCCCAGACUCCUACGGGAGGCAGCAGUGGGGAAUUUUGGACAAUGGGGGCAACCCUGAUCCAGCCAUCCCGCGUGUGCGAUGAAGGCCUUCGGGUUGUAAAGCACUUUUGGCAGGGAAGAAAAGUUUCGGGCUAAUACCCUGGAGCGAUGACGGUACCUGCAGAAUAAGCACCGGCUAACUACGUGCCAGCCGCCGCCGUAA